UAACAAAUGAAAUUUUUUGACUAAAAUGUUUGAGCACUUAGGCCGCAGAUUCCACCUCAAAUAACUUUAGUUAAUUACUUUUGUAUGACGCACAAAAUAAAAUUUCUCCAUAAUCAUUGCUUCGUCACUGAUCUCCGUGCACUCUUUUUAUCCAGUUAAAAAAGAAGGAAAAGAAAAAAGAAAAACUCUUUUCUUUUUUAAAGUUCAAUAGGACACGCGCUCGUUUCUGGCGCGUGGUACAGCAACAUUCCGUCUAAGCUUUUACUGACGUUAAAGUCAUUAACGCCGAUGCGUUUAUCCAUUUGAAGCGAAAAUGAGCUACACCUGUUUACCGUUAAAGUCAUUAACGCCGUCAGUGCUUCCCGUUAAAGAAUACGGCAAAUUCAUAUCUCCGUCAGAAUUCCGGUGUCGGAAAACCCGAAAAUCAUGGGCAAUGAUAGUGUAUAGUCGUCUCGAUAAUUCUACUGAAAGCAGUAAUGCUCAACAGCAACAGCUUAAUCUUUCUGUUCUUCGUUUCACUCUCGGAAUACCUGGAUUGGACGAAUCGUAUUUGCCGAGGUACAUUGGCUAUGCAUUUGGUUCUCUUUUGGUAUUGAAUCACUUUGUCGGUUCAGAUUCCUCCGCCAUCACUGCAGCACAGCUUAGAACGGAAGUUUUAGGUGUUUUUCUGGCUGUGUUCUCUGUUGUAGUUCCUUACCUUGGGAAGUUUCUUAAGGGUUCGGUUCUAGUAGAAGAAAGAAGUCUUCCUGAAGAUGCUGAGCAAGCCUUUGUCAUCUCAGAGAACAUAUCAGAUACUCUGAGGGAGGAUUUGGCAUGGGGAACCUAUGCUUUGUUGCGCAACACAAGCACCAUAUCAGUGCUUUUCUCACUUCAAGAUACAAUUUGUGCUCGUGGCUACUGGAGAACACCAAAAGAUGUAUUGAAAUCUCAGUUAUGUGACUGGUUUGAGAAACAGAUCCAGCAAAGUGGUCUUAGUGAUUUGAAGGAGACACUUUAUUUUCCACAAGUCUCAGACUCUGAACUAUGGGAGAUGCUUCCAAAAGGAACCCGUUCUCUCCUCGUGCAACCGGUACUACAAUCUGAAACCUCAGAUUCCAACCAGAAGUGGAAGAAUGAUGGUUUUGUGCUUGUAGCUUCCAACAACAGUUAUGCAUACAACAAUAGAGAUAGAGCCUGGGUUGGAGCUGUUGCAAAGAAGUUUGUAGCUGUGAUUAGGUGCAAGCUUGGUUGCAGAUAUGAUGAGUACUAGUUGAGUUUCCCCCUUUUGUUGACAUCUCUUGGUUCUUCUCGCUGCCCUAGGCUUGAAAACCAUGAACUGCAUGAAGCAAGAGUGUGUACGAUUUGUUGCAUCUUACCGGAAUAUCGCUAGAAAUGUCAUCUCUAUUAUACAGCUGACCCAAAUUGGAAAGGUUGUCAGCAAUUUGGACUGCAUUCUGGGUUGGAAAAUCCUGCAGCCACCAAUAAUUUCAUUACUUUUGACAUCUGUAUUUAGUAAUUCAAUAAGAGUUGCAUUUAGUGAAUGACA